rnacentral:rRNA from 1 species
AUGCACGCUGGCGGCGUGCCUCAUACAUGCAAGUCGAGCGCACAGAUGAGGAGCUUGCUCCUCUGACGUUAGCGGCGGACGGGUGAGUAACACGUGGAUAACCUACCUAUAAGACUGGGAUAACUUCGGGAAACCGGAGCUAAUACCGGAUAAUAUAUUGAACCGCAUGGUUCAAUAGUGAAAGACGGUUUUGCUGUCACUUAUAGAUGGAUCCGCGCCGCAUUAGCUAGUUGGUAAGGUAACGGCUUACCAAGGCAACGAUGCGUAGCCGACCUGAGAGGGUGAUCGGCCACACUGGAACUGAGACACGGUCCAGACUCCUACGGGAGGCAGCAGUAGGGAAUCUUCCGCAAUGGGCGAAAGCCUGACGGAGCAACGCCGCGUGAGUGAUGAAGGUCUUCGGAUCGUAAAACUCUGUUAUUAGGGAAGAACAAAUGUGUAAGUAACUAUGCACGUCUUGACGGUACCUAAUCAGAAAGCCACGGCUAACUACGUG